UACGUAGGGUGCAAGCGUUGUCCGGAAUUAUUGGGCGUAAAGAGCUCGUAGGCGGUCUGUCGCGUCGGCUGUGAAAUCCCGGAGCUCAACUCCGGGUCUGCAGUCGAUACGGGCAGACUGGAGUUCGGCAGGGGAGACUGGAAUUCCUGGUGUAGCGGUGAAAUGCGCAGAUAUCAGGAGGAACACCAGUGGCGAAGGCGGUGAUCUGGGCCGGUACUGACGCUGAGGAGCGAAAGCGUGGGGAGCGAACAGG
rnacentral:rRNA from 1 species